AGAGUUUGAUCCUGGCUCAGAAUCAACGCUGGCGGCGUGCCUCAGACAUGCAAGUCGAACGCGAAAGCCCCCUUCGGGGGGCAAGUAGAGUGGCGCACGGGUGAGUAACACGUAGGUAAUCUACCUUUGGAUGGGGAAUAACAACCGGAAACGGUUGCUAAUACCGCAUAAUGCAGCGGCACCUAAUGGUGACAGUUGUUAAAGCGGGGGAUCGCAAGACCUCGCGUCUGAAGAGGAGCCUGCGGCGGAUUAGCUAGUUGGUAAGGUAACGGCUUACCAAGGCGAUGAUCCGUAGCCGGCCUGAGAGGGCGGUCGGCCACACUGACACUGACAUACGGGUCAGACUCCUACGGGAGGCAGCAGUCGGGAAUUUUGGGCAAUGGGCGAAAGCCUGACCCAGCAACGCCGCGUGAAGGAUGAAAUCCCUCGGGAUGUAAACUUCGCAAGAACGGGAAGAAUAAGUCUGUGUAAAUAUCACAGAUGAUGACGGUACCGUUUGUAAGCUCCGGCUAACUCCGUGCCAGCAGCCGCGGUAAUACGGGGGGAGCAAGCGUUGUUCGGAUUUACUGGGCGUAAAGGGCGCGUAGGCGGCCACCGCAAGUCAAUUGUGAAAUCUCCGGGCUUAACUCGGAAAGGUCAACUGAUACUGCGGGGCUAGAGUGCGGAAGGGGCAACUGGAAUUCUCGGUGUAGCGGUGAAAUGCGUAGAUAUCGAGAGGAACACCUGCGGCGAAGGCGGGUUGCUGGGCCGACACUGACGCUGAGGCGCGAAAGCCAGGGGAGCGAACGGGAUUAGAUACCCCCGUAGUCC
rnacentral:rRNA from 1 species